CAUUCUAUGAAGAUCGGUCCUGGUCUCCUAAAGCCAUAGAACCUCAGAGACUCAAUGUAAAUUUUUGCUGGUAUAUUAGAAGGCUCUACAAAAAUGUGAGGUUCUGAUUAAACCAUUAAGAAUAUUUGGCUUCAUAUUCAAGGCUGUAUCUGCAAUAUCUCUGAGGAAGAGAAAUCGAAAUCCCCUGCUUUCAGUUCAGUUAUGCUUGGGAGCAGAAGUAUUACAAAGAAAGCACGCGGUUUCCUACUUCAUCAUCAAUCAUGACUCAUCAGCUUUAACUGAGGAAUCAGAUGGAGAGACUGAAAAACAACUUGCCUGAAGUCACCAACUAGCAAAGAACUGGGAUUCAAAUUGGAAAAAAUUCCAAUUUUUUCCCAUGACACCAAGUUGAUCUGAAAGUUCCUCUGAGUGAAGAACGGCAUGGAAUGUAUUAAAAAAAAUUGUAAUUGCAUUUAUUUAAAAAAUUGAAACUUAGAAUCAAAAGAAGUAAAAUUCAAACGAUUGUUUGGCGAUUUUGUAGCAUUUAUACUUCCGAAGUCAUUUUAAGCUUAAAUCUGCAGCACUAACACAUUGGGAUCCUCUGUAUUUGAGUUUGUGGUAUGUCAAGUUCUGUACCAGACAAUGAACCUUAGAAUUAA